rnacentral:lncRNA from 10 species
CCUUGGAGUGCCCCCAGUUUGAAUUGGAGAUAAAAGGUAUGGUCUUGUUGAAAUUGCCCCCAAAUUGAGCUGCACCUUCCAAUUGAGGCAGAAAGAAUCGCCUUUUGAUACGUUCCACAAUUGGAAUGCAAAUUCUCUCCCAUCUCCUAGACACCUGGGCCUGCCCCCAUUUUUCUUGACUGUAAUCUGUUUAGCUUGUGCAUAAAAUGGCAAAAACAAAGAGUCUUUCUGUAAAAGAAAAAGAAGAGGAAAGAAAGUAGAUUCUGUGUCCUCUUCCUUAGUCCUUGCCAAAUCUUUGCUCCCAGGCCUCGGCAGGUGGCAGUGUACAUGAGUCAUGCAGUCUAUCUUUCUGUUUUGUUUGUUAUUAACCACUGAAAUGAUGGCACCAUUCCUGGAGUUAGGCCUUCAACCAAAGAGCUGGGCCAUCCGUGGCAAUGCCUCCCAGGCUUGGGAGCUGGGAAAAGGCCCCAGGAGCUAGGGCAUCCUGAUUGUUCUUUCAAAGAAAUCCCUCUUGUUCUUAGUCAACAUGCUGGAUACCAGCUAAAAAAUGCAAAAUGAUCUUCAGGCAGGGAUGGCACAGGACCCUUGCUGAGCUGUGAAGCCUGGCUGUGAGGAUUCCUGCAUGGAAACAUCAACAUGUUGCCAGAUUGGUAUACGACUCAACACCACACUGACAUGCUGCUCCCAAACAGUGCCUUUGAAUCAAGACCCAGUCAUCGUAUUCGAAGAAAAAGGAAAUAUCCCUGACCAUGUUGGGACUUAACACUGCUUCACAGAGUCCAUGGAGUUCCUGGUGACUAAUGCCAUCCACAAGAUCUGAAGGUGUUGUGUAACCUAGACCUGGCCCUUCUCUCAGUGCAUCCCCCUCUCCAGAGUGACCAACUCAGAGAGGUCAUGUGCUUAAGGGUGAGAACCACUACAGGACAAAAAUGAGCUCCUUUUUUCCAGUCUCAGCCCAGGAGGGAUCUUCACAGAGAAAGCAAGCCCAGCCCAUCCCCACAGCUGGCUCCCUGGUGCCCAUUCUGAAAGGCUGGACCCAUCCUGACCUGUCCCUGCCCCAAGGACUGCCUGGUGAGGGAUGGCUUACCAACACUGUGACUCAGUCCUUCCAACAUGCCCAACAGGUCAAUUCUGGGAUAUUCCUUACAGGAAUUAAUGAGAGCACAUUGCCGGUAAUGUUGGCAUUAGUAGAUUACAUUUAAAUUUAAAAAUUCCUUUUAUGGGGUUUAAGAAUAGAGACAAGACACCCAUGCAAUAAAGAAAGGAGGAGACUUUGCCUGGUCUAAUGGAGAAGCUGGAGCUGCAUUGUUGGGUACAGUGGCCAGUGGCUACACCUGGCUUUUGAGCCCUUGCACAGUGGCAAGGACACAUUGAGAUGUGCCCUAGGUGCAAGAUACACACAGGAUUUCAAAGACUGAGUAUGAAAAAAGAAGAAAAAAUGUCUCAUUAAUAUUUUUAUAUUGGUUGCAUGUGGAAGUGAUAACAUUUUGGAUAUAAAGUUGACCUUUGAACAGUAUGGGUUUGAACUGCACAGGUCUGCUUAUAAGUGAAAUUUCUUCUGCCUCUGCCACCCCUGAGACAGCAAGACCAACCCUCCACUUCCUCCUCCUCCUCCUCCUCCUCAACCUGCUCAACGUGAAGAUGAUGAAGAUCAAGACCUUCAUGAUGAUCUACUUCCACUUAAUGAAUAGUAAAUAUAUUUUCUCUUCCUUGUGAUUUUCUUAAUAACGUUUUCUUUCCUCUAGCUUAUUUUGUUGUAAGGAUACAGUGGUAUAUAAUAUUUAUAACAUACAAAAUAUGUGUUAACCAACUCUGCUAUCAGUAAGGCUUCUGAUCAACAGUAUGCUAACAUUUUUGGACAGUAGUUAAGUUUGGGCAGAGUCAAAAGUUAUAGGCAGAUUCUUGAUUGUGUGGGGUAUUGGCAUCCCUAAUCUCUGCACUGUUCAAGGGUAAACUGCAUUAG